rnacentral:tRNA from 3 species
GAGCCGCUAGCUCAGUAGGUAGAGCAACGGCCUUUUAAGCCGUGGGUCGAAGGUUCGAUUCCUUCGCGGCUCA